GGGUGUCGUGACGGGGGUUGAGGGGAUACAGUGUGAAAUAGAGUGUGUGUGUGUGUGAGAGAGAGAGAGUGACAGGAAAAAAAAGGCAAAUUUAGAUCGACGUGGUUCGAAAAACACCACCGAAAGGGUUAAACGCACCACAGAAGAGCGCAUAUUUAAAUAUUACUAGUCGACGGCGGAGGACACACGGAACGCGAGCGAAAAACGGCACUCUAAAACCACUGAUUUGAUGUCUGGUGGCUUUGAAGUGAAUAUUUCAAUAUUUUGAAAAAAGAUGAAUUCUUCUACUUAUAAAAAUACAGGAUAUUAUUUCAAAUAUUUAUUAAAGGAUAUAUUCUCAACAAUAUUUGACGAUCGACAAUGAUUGGACUUUGUAUCUGUUCCUGUACGAUUAGACAGUCAGAUUUUUAUGACUAGAUCAAUUCAUGUUUAUUAUUUAUUGAUGCGGAUUAAGGGAUAUUAAUAUUUAAUUCAACGUGGGAUCACACAUUUCAAACAUCCGUAUUUACUAUCGGCAUCAACAGAAAAGGAAGUUCAGCGAUAUAAUAAUAAUAAUUAUUAAAUAUUUUUCACUACAGACCAUUGCAGUCAAUUUAGAAUUACAAGUUACAACACAGUAAACAAGAAACAGAUAAAAUAAUAAAUCAAUGUUUAAAAUAAUUUAUAUUUAUGUUUUUUAAUCAUAAAUAACUAUUUAUAAAUAUAACUUUUUUCUUUUAUUA